AUGACAUGAUCCUUUAUUGUCAAUAUGCUUACAUUCCACUAGGGGGAGCCAAAUAUAUAAAUAAGCUUAAGAAUUACGUUGAAGGGGCCAGAAUAGAAGUCUGUGGAAGGUGUGGGAUGGGAGGACAGCAUCAGAAAGAAUUGGGCAAAUCUGUCCCAGGACUAGGUCAGAAAAACGCCUCCCUAGGGAAGGUGCCACCCCGAACACGUGUUUCUGAGAACCCUUACCCGAAAUAAGGAGGCUGCCGAGCGAUACUUGAGGUUGGACCAGAUGAUGUUUUCUUGAGAGAAGCAGAAAACGCCAAGUCGGCCUCCACGCAUUGUGGUGUCUAUGGUGACUCCAGAGUCAGCCACCAACUCAGAGCCUUCAUAAAAUCGUACCCUGCAGACAACACAGCCAGAGGGGCCUCCAUGAAAUCCAACCCGGGGAGACAGCACUCCCUAAGUGGAGUUGGAGGAAUCUGUGGGGACACUUUGGGUUGUCACAGUGGCACUGAGUGAUGGCAGCCCGGGAUGCUGGAUGGCGAGCAAUGCCCUGGAGAGAACAAUCAAAACCUGUCCUGCAUUCCGUACACUUCUGGAGUGUUCCUCAGACACCAGGGUUCCCCAUCCUGCGGUCACAAAAGUCCUGGCAUGUCCUUGGGGACUAUCCUAGGUCAGAAUUGCUCAGGGAAGUGAAGGCUCUGGGAUGCAGAACAGAGAAUGCUUUGCUUCUAGAGCAAGAUUAACUAAGUACCACAUGGGAAAACACAAUAUCUGAAAAAAGAUGAGAGGUCCAGAAGAAAGGGAGAUGAAUGACUUCAAACCGCCAAUACCUUGAGCUGAAUGCCAGGUUCUGCAACUGCUCGGAAUGGGGUGGCUUGCCAAUACGUCUGCUCUGUCUGCUUCCAUCCAUGUGGUGGAUUCCUGGAGCUAUCUUGGUAGCCAAAGAUAAAGCCUGCAUAGUCAUCAUCUGUCUGGGUAUUCACAUGGAAGGUCCCUUCGAAGUCAACUCCAUUAAAAGCUGUGUACCCUGUAGGGACCAGAUAAGAUUAGAACAAUAGACAAACCACACUAGUAGCUGGAAGAAUUCUAUGAGUGGCAACUGAGGCCCUGGACAUACCCACUGCCAGGCCAGGAUCACUGUUCAUGGUCUGUACAAUCUCCAUGCCCUGCAGAGAGAGUUGAGGGAGUUCAGAACAGUCUUGAAGGGGCCAAGUAAUCUUAAGGAAGCUCAAAACCUCAGGCACCAUAUGAGUGAGUGGCCGGUGAUGUCUGACGUCCAUAUAAAGAUUUCAUUAUCUGAAUAGUUGCUCUAUUGUGUUAUGUGCUCAAAGAAAGCAUGUGCUUGUAAAGGUUAAAAAAAAGCUCAAAGCUGAAUGAAAUACGUUUGCUGAGACUGUCACUUAAGCUGAUUGAACAGGCCCUUAACUGGGGAGCAUACAACAUAUACUUCUAAUCAAUGUGACUUGCUCUGUGACUCUGGAAAAUCUACUAAGCCUCUCUGUGCCUGCAUUUCUUAGUUACACAAUGAGGAGGAUAUGCAGAAGGCAGUCUGCUGCAGAGAUCAGAAGUGUGGGUUCUAGGGUCAGACUGCCUGGGUCCCAAUUCCAGUCAGCUACUUACCACAGUGCUACCAUCAUUAAAGCUGCUACAAUCAUGAAAGCUGUAGCAGACAAUUUCAUCCUCUGUAAAAUGGGCAUAAUUGAAGUAGUCUGUCAUAGGGCUGUUGAGGAAUAAGAGCGAUGUGAAGAAUGCCUGGCUCAUUGUCUGCACCCUCUAAACAUGACCUACCACUAUCAGAAGGGCCUCUGUUGAGAGGCAAGGCUGAGCCAUUGCCGCCCAUGUGACACUCACCUGGUUCAGGACCACCCAGUUGGGAUCGAU
rnacentral:lncRNA from 1 species